CCUACGGGAGGCAGCAGUGAGGAAUAUUGGUCAAUGGACGAGAGGCUGAACCAGCCAAGUAGCGUGAAGGAUGACUGCCCUAUGGGUUGUAAACUUCUUUUAUAUGGGAAUAAAAUGUUCCACGUGUGGGAUUUUGUAUGUACCAUAUGAAUAAGGAUCGGCUAACUCCGUGCCAGCAGCCGCGGUAAUACGGAGGAUCCGAGCGUUAUCCGGAUUUAUUGGGUUUAAAGGGAGCGUAGGUGGAUUGUUAAGUCAGUUGUGAAAGUUUGCGGCUCAACCGUAAAAUUGCAGUUGAAACUGGCAGUCUUGAGUACAGUAGAGGUGGGCGGAAUUCGUUGUGUAGCGGUGAAAUGCUUAGAUAUCACGAAGAACUCCGAUUGCGAAGGCAGCUCACUGGCCUGCAACUGACACUGAGGCUCGAAAGUGUGGGUAUCAAACAGGAUUAGAUACCCUUGUAGUC
rnacentral:rRNA from 1 species